rnacentral:rRNA from 1 species
AUACGGAGGAUCCGAGCGUUAUCCGGAUUUAUUGGGUUUAAAGGGUGCGCAGGCGGCCAUUUAAGUCAGCGGUUAAAUCGUGGGGCUCAACCCCAUUCUGCCGUUGAUACUGGGUGGCUUGAUUGCGGUCGAGGUUGGCGGAAUUCGUUGUGUAGCGGGGAAAUGCAUAGAUAUGACGAAGAACACCGAUUGCGUAGGCAGCUGACCAGACCGCAAAUGACGCUCAUGCACGAAAGUGCGGGGAUCGAACAGGAUUAGAUACCCUGGUAGUCCGCACAGUAAACGAUGAAUACUUGUUUUCGGCGAUAUAAUGUCGGAGGCAAAGCGAAAGCGAUAAGUAUUCCACCUGGGGAGUACGCCGGCAACGGUGAAACUCAAAUGAAUUGGCGGG